CUUGAGUAAAAUGUCUGGAUUCUCUGAAUGAAGAACGAACAUAUUCAACCGAAAUUAAUUCACCAGUCACAGCUUUUGUUCAAGUUUUACAUUGAAAAAUUUUCUUUUACCCCAUUUUAUUUUUUGUUACUUAUGUAAAUUAUUGUCAUUUUGGUCCUUAAAAUACCAACAUUUUCACUCAAAUUUUAUUUUGGUCCAUUUGAUGAUGCACAUUUUAAAUAUUAAGCGAUUGAUAAUUUGAUCCGUUACUCUACUUGAGUAGACAUUUUAUCUUUUUUUUUCUUUAACUCUUACCUGAGUAAUUUAUUGGAUGGAUACUUUUAUAUUUUCACUUGAGUGCAAUGUUUGGGCUCUCUGUCCUCCUCUGUAGAUGUACCAGUCAUAUUUGUGAUGAGUUUUUUCAAAAUUGGCGCGUUUCCAUCAUAAUUUCAACAUGUGCAAUAUGGUUAAUGGAAACGGGGUUGUAGUAAAGUCCUUCACGUCAUCGUGGCGAGACAAAAAUGAGUGGGAAACAUGGCGGCCUGAUCACCAGAGAGAUCCAUCACAGCCUCAUGAAACGGCUGUUGACUCAGCUGUGCUGUGUGAGGUAUAAGCCACGGAGACCACCUCAAACACACCUCGGUCAGGGAGCGCAGGUACUCAACCACUCUAAAACAACACCGAAGUGUGAAUCUUUCUGUAGUUUAUCCACACAAGGCCCAUCAAGGGCUUUGGCUCUUUGUAUGGGCAAACCCUAAUUACAGCCUGGACAGCCAUGAAAAAGCUUCCGUUCUGACAUCAAAUGCAAAGUCAUUGAAGUACAAAGGCUUUCAUUUUUUUUAUUUCACCCUCCUUUGUUUUUGAUGGCAGAAGGCGCGUAGAACCGAGGAGGAAACGGCGAAUGGAUAACGCGACUUACAGGGAGUUUGGCAGAGGAACGGAUUUUGUCGCAGACAAUAGCGAAGACAAAAAUGGCACCGGGGAGACAGACGAGAAUGAACAAAAAAUGGAAACAUGAUAAGAAUGAUGGAUGUUGGACGAGAGCUCCACUUGCGUAUCAAAACAACAAUGGUUUGUGCUGCACCACUUGGGGAGGAGGAACCAGUUAUCCCAACGCAGUCUGGAAAACUCAGAAAAAGUAGAAAGUUUGAGUUACCGGACCAAAUCAUUUGCCGUGUUCCUGUUUGUCUGAAGCAUGAACAGACGGUUCCUGUGUAGGUGAGGAUGCAGAAUUAUUUCAGUGGGUACGUGUGAGUUUAUUUGGAGAAAGGGGCUGUGUGUUUAUGAUGUGGAUGUUUGAAAGAUCAGAGAAGGACGAUGACCGCCUGUCUCACAGCAAAAUGUUUCCUUCUACAAUCAAGCGACUUAUUAUCUAGUACUGAUUUUAAAUAUGCUUUUUCUUUUAAACGGUGUAGAUAAAUCCUACGAACUCUUGGUUUUCUGAGAAAAGGUCCAGGUUUUGUUGAAUUUGUUUAAUAUUGCAACCAGAAAGCUGAGUUACAAUUUAAAGAGACUUAAUAUUCUGAGCUGUUGGAUUUGAAAAGGGGAUAAUACAGUUACUUUGAAAUGGAAAUGUUUUUUUGUUUUUUUUAUUUCACUGUGGUUGUGGUGAAUCGAUACCUUACUAAAACUAAAGUAGUCUUUGUUUGACGGAUCAGCAGUCAAGCUUGCUGCUACUCAGAAGAGGGCUUAUUUAGGAGUUAAUUUUUCAAAUGUAAAACAUGCUUAACAGGAAAAUGCCCCUUUAAACAUUGAAUGCUAAUUACAUGCAUAACUCAGCUGUACAGUGGUGAUGACAAAAGAUGGAUCAACAGCCAGUAUCCUGCUUUUUUAUGUUUGUAAAUGCCUUUUUUGUCUCCAACAUCUAUGACAUAAAUGUGCAUCAUCAUUAUUUUCACUUUCUCCCACUUAGAAAGAAGAUCAGAUCCCAAAUGUUGGGUGCCAAACCAAAGUUUUACAGCUUCCCUGUUGUCCACUCACUCACUGUGUACCUUUUUUUGCAAAGGCAGGUUGACACGUUGUACAAAACAUAUUUUACUCUCGAGUAGCUUUUUACAUCUCACCAAUUCAUGUGACUUGUUUUUAAACCAGCUCCAUGUUACUGAAAAUAGUCUCCAUUAAAGUCCUCCUCCCCUCGGCGACACACCCAAAGCAGUCAUGAAUUUCUAUAAAAACCCCAGAACUAUUUUGCGAUGGCCACGUUUUUGUAUGCAAAGCAGUUAACACACACAAACGAAUUCAUGCAAGGAACAACAAACACCGCCUAAUGGUGACCCUGGGAUGCACACACUCUGUGUGCUCACACCAACAUCACAAGCCAAGUUCUUGACAAGCGACUCCAAGCAGUCUCUGCCUCCUCCACAUGCUUCAUAAUUGACCUUCUGUGUGUGUCUGGCCAUCUGUGUGACUCUAGUCGCCCUGUUUGAACAUUUCCAUCAACCCGUCUCUGCUCAUUUCGUUUGUCCUCCGUUUCUCCUCCGCUCCCUUUGCCCGUCCAAUCACACUCUGCAGCCUUAAAUGACAAACGCUGUUCGUGACUGCUUCCUCAUCUUGGGUCUUAUCUCCGGUCUAAUGGAAGAUUAGCUGCCUCAGGACGCCAGCGUAUCAGCCCGUGUUUUUGAUGUACAUCAGUUCAUGCGCCGUCGGCGAUGCGGUAACUACUGGCCAUUCUUUUCAUUUGCUCUGGAUUCAAAGUGGAUAAAAGUGUCAAGCGAAAGUUUGAGAUCUUAAUAUUCUGCAAUAAUGGAAGAUGAGCUUAAGAUACCAGACGGAAAUAAGUUUGUUCAUUGGAGUUUGCUCAUGGG